ACAAUGACAAUUUUGAAUUUCAAAUUUUGAGAGUCCCAAUGUCUAAUGGUUUUCUAUUUCACUCAAGAGUGAUUGUAUUUUCUCCUUUUCAUUUCGUCGGUGCACCCAUCGUUCCCCACCACUCCUCUCUGGUUUUUUUUUCCUUUCUAUUUUUAAAUUUUGAUGGGGAGCUUCUACCCAACUCUUCCUCUUCUACCGAGCAUGAGAAAAAGAAGCUGGUGAGUAUGGAUUGGAUGGGGAAGUUGAUAAAGAAAGUAACGGAUAGCAAAGAUGAGGCGUCAUAGAUGAGGAAAAGAGUGACGGAGAAGGUGAAGACGCCAUCGUGAAAGAAAGUGGGUCCUCACAGAAGAAUCUCACAUGGGACAUGGCUGAUUGAAGAUCAUUUCCCCUGCACUCUUAUCUGAGGUUUUGUUGUCAUUUCAGCCUGUCAUGACCACCUCUUCCAUCUAACACCAACAUUUAUAUAUGUGGCUAGUAUAUAAUUUUUCCUCCCUCAUCUUCUUUUCCCUAUUUCUUCUUCUCUUCUCUUUUUGAGUCUUUCAGAUCUCUUCGACUUCAUCUUAAGGGCUCCAAACAAGGAUUUGUUUGUUUGAUGCUAUGACCUUCUCGCCGAUGGAUUUAUUUGCCGCUCUGUGCGUGGCUCAUCGUCUUCCCUUCGGCAUCCUCUUCACUUUCCUAAUCCUCUUCGUAUUCCUCUUUUUCUCAUCUUUUUCUUUGGCUAAAUAAUACCAGGUGGACUUUGUAAUCUUUUAUGAAGUGGAUCAUUUUUUAGAUUUCAUAUGACAAGUUGAUGUGUCGGACAUACAAUGAUGGAGAGAAAGCCAUUCUAAGUUCCAUCCUGAAAGCAGGGGGCUGGGAAUAUUUAAUACUUACAAAAUGGACCAAACUUCAUUAUUAAUUAUGCUGCAGAAAACAAUUCAUCAAAACCUUUAAGUUGUUGAUGGGAAUGUGAUUUAUAUGUUUAGGUUUCUUUUGAAUCUGCCAGCCAGUUCGAUGAGUUGGCGGCUAAUCAUGUACCAAUUAAUUCCAGCAUUAUGCAGAAAAAGCCUGGCACUUCUAUAAGUAUUGAUGGUCAAAGACGUUGUAGAUGUAAAGAUCUAUGUAAAGAUAUGCAUAUACCACACGCAAGGUCCACUUCACAUUAAGUAGUGGAUCGUGCUUUUUUUGUUUCAUUUUUCUGUGAGGUUUGCUUUUUGGGGUUCCCUAGAUGUGGAAUGGUUAUGCAAUGUUCAUUGGGUGAUUGCCCAAACAUGUCGCAAACUAAAUUUCUAUGAUGAUUAGACAAGUUUCAAAGUA